ensembl:lncRNA
CAACUUUCUGCCAGCCCUCUCUCCUUGCUUUUGCAGCCUUUGCAGUGUUCCCUUGCGUUUUAAUUAAACUCUGAAACUCCUGAAAUCCCUCAAUCAAGAGUUCUUGCUCUGCUGCCGUAAAAUACUGAGCGCGCGCCUUCGACAUCUUCGCCGACCAAUCAAAGGGUUGCCGAUCAAUGUUUCUACUAUCGAUGCGUAGCCCCUUUUAAGCCACCCAGUGAUCUCGCAUUACUUCAUCCAGCUAUACUAAUCGUCAACAACAGGUGUGUUCGGAGAACCAGAUUAGCGAGCUCAAAGUUAGCGCGAUGAUUUGAUCUUGGAUGUGUCAUUUGAUCUUGGAUGUAGUAAGCGAGGUACGAAGAACGGACCCCAGUAUUACUCCCCAUUGUGUUUAGCUUUCAAAUCUGUGUAAUUAAAAUUUGAUGUUCCUUUUGGGCAGAGUUGAAGCCUUCAAGAGGAAACUUGCUUUGUGGGCUAAGAGGGCCCAGGAAAAGAGGAUGGACAUGUUUCCAUUUUUGUCUCACAUCAUGGAAAACUCCCUUCAGGUGUCUGUCAGCACCUUUCACAACUGGCAGAGAAAUUUGAUGAAUAUUUUCCUGAGAAUCCCAGAGAAGGACACACACGGAUUUUGGACCCACUUUUUGUGGAUCCCACUGAAAAUGAAGUUGCUUUGCCCUCACAUCUGGAAUCCCAGCUUCUGGAAGUUUCCACCAACAAUACUGGGCUCCUUAUGGAUUCCUGUCUCAAAGGAGUACCCAUGUCUGGCACCGAGAGCUGUGAAACUCCUCCCAUUCACAACUACAUAUCUGCGUGAAUCAGGAUUUUCCAUUGUGGCCACAACCAAGACCAGAGUCGGAAACAGACUCAGAGCAACGCUGGAGCUACUAUGAGAGUCAGCCUUCCCCCAUUCCACCCAGACUGGAUCUGAUGGUGUCUCAGAGGCAGGCUCAAGUGUCUCAUUAAGAGGUGAACAUAAAAGGGGAGUUGCAGCUUGCCAAAAAAAAAGAAAAAAAGAAAAGACUGUUGCGACUUGUUUGCUGUUCAUUUUUCUCAAAUAUAAAGAGUAACUUCUGGUUCUGCCAAUGAAAAAAGGUUUACUGCUGAAGAUUCACUCACAGAUUACAAGGCUAUAUUUUCAUUUGCACUUUAUUUACAUUUUAUAACAGUUUAUUCAUUUAUUCAUACAAUUUCUAUUUUUCCCUUUUUUCUUAUCUUUUUUGCUGUUGUAAAAUUGAAUUAAUUAUUUUGUGUUAUUAAACCUGACUUGAGCCUUUCAGUUUGCACUUGCAGUUUGAUUUGAUCCAUGAAUUGUUAGCCUGUUUUGUUUUAUGUGCAGGUUCACAUACACAUAAUAAAUAAAUGUCUUUGUGAUUAUUACAUUGCAUCAUGUCAUUUAUUUGACAAGGUUUUAGCUGUUAAAAUGAAGUAGAUUUGAUUUAGUUAUUAAAUAUAAAUCAAAC